AAGCCCUUACGGUGCUUCCAUGGUUAUAAAAGUGCCUUCUAGAGUGGUGAAUACGAGAGCAAGUGCCUUAUUGGCUGCCCUUUACAUGUGAAAAAAAUGAAUGGGUGCCCUCUGGUGCCCCUUCAUACAAUAAAUUAUGACGAUGUGCCCUCUAGGGCAAGAAUGUGCCCUUUUUAUUUUUUUGCCCCUGCCCUUCAAACACUCUGAGUCCGCCACUGAUAUAGUGCCAUAGGCCUAUAUCAUCAUAUAGGGAAUAGUGAGUGAGUGAAUAGGGAAGGAUUUCGAACACAGCAACUCUCUCUCGAUCACACACGCACGGCUGCGCACGCAAGUAUAAAGAGGGAUGAAAGAGAGUUGGUGUGUGUGUGUGUGUGUGUGUGUGUGUGUGUGUGUGUGUGUGUGUGGUGUUUGGUGACCUUUCUAAUUCUUUGCUCUGUGACCUUCUACUUGCAGGGGCACUUUGAAAUGGCCAUAUUGGGAGUGGGGGGAAGGGAAACUAACCUUAACCCUUGUUAAAAAAAAACGUAAAAUAACCCUGGGCAGAGACAGGUGCCCUGAACAGUGCAUGGUCCAUCAGAUGCAGCAAAAGAUAACAACCGAUUAAAUGAAAAGCGUGGCUUGCAAUAUUGUUUACAUUCUAUUUUCUUCUAUUAUUUAGCAUUACUUUCUGAGUUGAUGCCAUCAGCUGUAGUUGGAAUGCUGACCUGAAGACCAACAUGCCGGGAAGCGUGUGUAGCAGCAGCAGCGUCAUACAGGCGAAAAGGAUGGUGGAUCAGCUACGAGUUGAAGCCGGCAUGGAGAGAUUCAAGCAGAUCUCCCUAGCUGCGGCAGAGCUGGUUCAGUAUUGUCAGGAACACAGACGCAGUGACCCUCUGCUCACUGGGAUCACUGCCUCCUCCAACCCCUUUAAAGACAAGAAAACCUGCAUACUGCUUUAAGAGGCAGUUGAAUCCUUUGAGGAUUUUAUUGGCAUCAUUCAUUUGUUUGCUGCAUUUGGUACAAGAUAUGUGCUUUAUAGAUUAAAUGCAUGGUCGUUAUAAUUGACUAUUAGGAGUCUAGUUUAGAUUCAGCUGAG